CGGUUUAAGGUCUUGGAGACAAAG
rnacentral:miRNA from 2 species